GACUUGAGACCCAAGUGUUUGAUUUGUAGGAGUGCUGAGUGUUUGCAGCUGCAGCUAACAGGAGCUGGGCUUUGUGGGUGGGAGGAGCCAUACCUUGUAAGCAUCCUGGAAAAGGCAGUUUUCAGCACUUUCAGACUGAACACCUAGAAUUAGUAGAUAGCUCCUCAGAUAUUCCUUCCUGCUGGCUUGUUGCCUUCUUUCUCUUCCUUCCUGUGCCAGUUCCAUACUGCUUUGCUCCUUACCAUCAUCCCCAAAUGCAGCAUCAGUCGUCCCACACACUGCUUCUCCACAGUGCUCCCUCCAGGUAGAAGUUCCAGUCAUAAACAAUCCCACUGUGAAUGAUUUGGUUUCAGAUCUUCGUGUCAGCCCUUCUGCAGUGAGGGAGUCAUAAGCUGUGUGUUGUCUGCUACGUUCCCGUACGGUGCAUAAGGGAGCCCAGAAAAGCUCUGCGUUAUUUCCAACCCACACACAGCAGUGAGCCAAAUAGAUGAAGAGGAAGUGAAUAUAGCUCAGUGUACUGCAAAAGUACAGACAACUGUUUAUAUAUGCAUAUGUGUAAGCAACUUUACUGAAAUUAAUCAAUUAUACGAUACAUGAUUGGUAGACAUGAUAAAAAUUGAUAAAGCAGCUAGGGAUUUCCCCACAGUCUAUAGUGUGAGGAAUGCUUCAGGGGUUGUAUAUAGGGCUGUUCUAGAGCAGACUCAAGUGAGGCACUGUUAGGCUGAAAAGAACGUGUAAUUUGGGGCUGGAACAACACCCAGUGGUCGUUUAUCCACCCCCAUAAAUUCUGGUAAAGCUAGGCUAUAUUUCUUGUGAAAUCAACUAUAAAUGAUGUUGGAAAAUGUAUCUAAAUCAUUUGUAUGGGUACUUAUUUUGCUUUAAGACUUUUUUCCCCAUCUUUUUUUACUUCUAUGUAUGACGUGCAGCCAUUAGACUUCAUUAAACUCUGGCUGGUAGAUUGAAUCUUUAAAAAAAUAAGUAUUUUCUUCCCUAUAGACAAUUAAGCUGCAUUUUGCUGUAAUGUUUGACUUAACCUUUGAUAAAAUAAAUGGGCAGAGCUUUAAACUUAAAAAGCACAGCCACCUGCAUAGGCUGUUUACAGGUUGGGAUUAGUAAGGAUGGACAUAAUUGUAGUAUCCUGUCCACAAAAAAACAUGAUGAUGAAUAGAGCUACCAACUAGUAUGUGCUGUGGGGGGACAUGAAUGAGGGAAGUGGGAUAAAUGAUGUCAUGGGAGGGCUGAUCUUCCUAUGAACAGUUUGUAUCAGAAGGGCAGGAUUUAAGCUUGGUGAGGGGACAUGCAGAUUAGUGCUCUGUACUUCUGAUUAUGGAGUCCUUAAACUGCAGUGCUCUCAAAUGAAUCAUUUUUGGAGGAAAACAGUAACCCCUUGCUGGGACUCACUUGGUUUCUUUCUGGUCUUAGUGUGCUCAAGAAAGAUUUUUAUUUGCUUUAGGAGCCUAUGGAGACUCAAGUCUCGCACAGACAAAGUCUGCUCGUGUCUUAUCUGUUUUCCCAUGGCUACUUGUUUUGAGUGCUUCGUUCUUCUGAGGCUGGUAAAGAAGCAAGGAACAUCCACUGCACUGUGCUUGCAGCAUUUGUUUAUGUGAAUGAAAAUGCUGCUCUGUGAUACUAGAGCUCUCACUUAUAUUUCUGACCACUUAUUUAAACAAAAGUAUAGAGAACUAGUAAAAUGUUGUUAGAUUUCAAACACACUUUUAUUCCUCUUUUUUUUCUUUCCUUUCUCAGAUAUCUCUUCUCUACAGCUUAUAUUGACUUUUCUUGAAAGUAGAUAGUUCUAGCUGUCAACUGAUUCGAAAGUCUAACAAAUUUCAAGUUUAAUAAAAUCAAUUAUGUUUUGAAGUUGGAAUCUGAAAUCAGCAAAGAGGACUUUAUUUAAAUUCUGGAUUAAGAGCAUUGAGCAACCACAGUUAACUGUACUUACGCUGUGUAUACAAUAUCAGUGUGAAUAAUACCUUCCAUUAUAUGAACUAAUGUACCCUUGUCUUCAGGCAUGUUCUAAGCAAAGGUAUUCACUGUGUUAUUCAUUGUUGUAAGUCUUCCAGCUUGUUAGUGAUGUGAAUUUAAGGUAAUAAUUGUGGUGGGUGUACUCUUCUUGAAAUUACUUGUUACUGUAUUGCGGGAUGAUUCUUAUGACCAAAUUAUUUAUACUGUUCCUUUGAGCACCUUACUAAACAAUCAUAAAUUAGUUUUAUGUUUGUAUAUUUCUCUCUUUCUUUGAGGUCCUGAGACAGCGAUACCCAUCUUGGUCUGAUUUGUGGCCUGAGAUGUAUGCAAAAGAACUGCAUAAUCAUGAUAUUCUUAGUUUACGUUUCCCAAACUGGGAAAAAAAAAA